CGCCUCCUCUGUCGUUACGUCACCGUCUCCUCCGCGUGAAAUAAGGCUCACACGUCCUCACGGCGCAUGCGUGGCCCCGCCCCCCUCUGCGCCUAGAAGCGGAAUGAUGACUCUAUUUGCGUGGCCCGUGCCCCCGCCGUCUUUGUGAGGAAUGAAAAGCUUUGCGCCUGCGUAGCGUGCAGGUGCGUAGCGCGCACCCUCGAGUCGUGGUUUGUGGGAGCAUUUUAUGGAGGAAAAUGAUAAUGCCUCCACCUUGUGGUUUCGGAUAGUGGAACCGCAGUCCCGCUAGGGGCGCCAGAGGCGCUCGGAUGGCCCCGGUGGAUCGCCGUUUACCGCGGCUCGACCACCUACGUUCAGAUGUUUAAAUUUCCACGGUACUGCACCUCCUUUCCCGAUGUCAGCGGUCAGCGGGCCGCCCCCGCGUGACAGUGCGUGCGCUGACUGAGAGGGAUCCGUGGUUUAAUCGGGGUCCAUGGGCUCCAGAAGAGAACAGAGAGAUGAGAAGUAGAUGCAAAAGCCAGGUCCAGACUGGAAAUAAAACUGAAAGGGCGAGGGCUACGCCCUCCAUCUUGCCCCGAAUCCUCCAUGUUGGGGCAGCAGCCAUGUGCUCGGCAAGGCUUCUUCCCGGAAGCCCAAGCCUCUGCUAGCCACACCCAGGAUUUCUCUAACCAAUGACAAUCAAGGGACGUGUGCACCAUAGAUAUGACCACAUCCUGUGUAAAGAGACUUGUGCCUGGUCAAUCGGCAGGGCCCACAGUCCCCUCUCCUCCCCUUACUCCACCCCCCUAUAAAACUCCUCUUCCCACCGGGCUAGCUCUCUCUCUGCCACUUGCUGCUGUGUCAGUAAGGAGGGUAGGGGAGCCAAGCCCGGGUUUGAAUAAAAGACUCUCUGCUUUUGCAUCGGACUCGGCUGGCUCCCUGUUGGUCUAUUGGGGAUCUUGAAAUCUGGGCAUAACAUUUGGGGGCUCGCCCGGGGUUCCCAAGACUAUCGAGGGACCCGCGAUCCGGAGAGUCUGACUGACCGCGGUAGGUGUCUAUGUCGUUGUGUGUUCUGUUCUGUGCGAGCUCGUUUCUGAAAUCUGUAAGUGCCCGAAGCGGUCUAGGUGGACACACUGCGAAAGACCACAGGCGGGGGAGAGUUGGAAGACAUUCCGCUCCCCAGGAGGGAUGCGUAUUCCCCUCAUGAGGGAUGUGGUUUCCCCUCACAGAUUUGAGACGAGGCAGGUCGCUCCUGCCAGUUUGGCAUAAGGCCAUCAUCUAGUUGCUUCCAUGGAGUUGGAAGGCUGUAUUUUCGGGCCCUUUUAGUUUUCUGUGUUUGUAUGUUUUUUCUAUGGACUUACUGGAUGGACAUUAUAGGAUAGACUCAAACUACUCCUUUAAGUAUUACGAUUGAUCAUUUCAAGGAGAUUGAGGGAGGCUUUAGAGCUCCCUCAGGAGUUGGGAAGUUGUUAGGAAUUGAAUGGAUUGUUUAAACUCUGAAUGAAUGUCUGGUGAAAGUAUGCGAGUGUGGAGGGAGGGGGCCUGCUCUCUCCCCUCCUUUGUGUGGCUCCAUGACUUCAGUCGGGUGGGCAUCUGAGUAAGGAUCUGUGAAAACAGGUCACCCCCUCCCCAAAUAAAUGCGUCUGAGAUUUCUGUGCACGUGUAGAGAGAAAGGCUGGCUUAAAACUAAUGUGUGCACUGUCCGAUUUUGGAUAGAGU